rnacentral:rRNA from 1 species
GACGAACGCUGGCGGCGUGCUUAACACAUGCAAGUCGAGCGAUGAAGUUCCUUCGGGAAUGGAUUAGCGGCGGACGGGUGAGUAACACGUGGGCAACCUGCCUCAUAGAGGGGAAUAGCCUUCCGAAAGGGAGAUUAAUACCGCAUAAGAUUGUAGUACUGCAUGGUACAGCAAUUAAAGGAGCAAUCCGCUAUGAGAUGGGCCCGCGGCGCAUUAGCUAGUUGGUGAGGUAACGGCUCACCAAGGCGACGAUGCGUAGCCGACCUGAGAGGGUGAUCGGCCACAUUGGGACUGAGACACGGCCCAGACUCCUACGGGAGGCUG